AUUGAACGCUGGCGGCAUGCCUUACACAUGCAAGUCGAACGGUAACACGUUAAGCUGUUGCGUUUCGAGCGGGCGAGUAAUGUAUCGGAAAGUGACCCAUCGUGAUCUAUAUUUUCUCGAAAGAUCAGGUAAUACCACUUACGACCUGAGCGCAUACGCGGUGGCUUGGAAAGCCUCGGACCUUCGGAGCUGCCGCUAUUUGAUUAGCUGGUUUCUGAUUAGCUAGUUGGCGGGGUAAAGGCCCACCAAGUGGACGAUCCGUAGCUGGUCUGAGAGGAUGAGCAGCCACACUGGAACUGAGACACGGUCCAGACUCCUACGGGAGGCAGCAGUGGGGAAUAUUGGACAAUGGGCGCAAGCCUGAUCCAGCCAUGCCGCGUGCGGGAAGAAGGCCUUCGGGUUGUAAAGCCCUUUUGUCGGGGAAGAAAAGGUGCAGGCUAAUACCUGGCAGUCAUGACGGUACCGGAAGAAUAAGCACCGGCUAACUACGUG
rnacentral:rRNA from 1 species